UAGGUUAUAGGUUUAGGUUUUGGUUUUAGCUUUAGGUUAAGGUUAUAAGUUUAGGUUAUAGGUUAAGGUUUAGGUUAUAGGUUUUGGUUUAGGUUAAGGUUAUAGGUUUUGGUUUAGGUUUAUGUUUUAGUUUAUAGGUUUAGGUUAUAGGUUUAGGUUUUGGUUUUAGGUUUAGGUUAAGGUUAUAAGUUUAGUUUAGGUAAUAGGUUAUAGGUUUUGGUUUAGGUUAAGGUUAUAGGUUUUGGUUUAGGUUAAGGUUUAGGUUUUGGGUUUAGGUUAAGGUUAAGGUUAUAGGUUUAGGUUAGGUUUAGGUUUAGGUUAUAGGUUAUAGCUUUGGAAAUUGAGAAUAGGUUAAGGUUUAGGUUUAGGAAAUCGGGUUCGGGUUCGGGAUCGGGUUUAGGUUUGGGUUUUCAAGUUUAGGUUUAGGUUUAGGUUUGGGAGUUUAGAUUAGGAUUAGGUGUAGGUUUAUGUUUAGG